GGGGAUGUUUUGGUUUCGACAGAAGACAACGACAAGUAAGUGCAGUGGUCUGGUAGACCAUAAUACUUCGAGGUUUAAAUAACCGGAAACAAAAACAAAACUGUAGUUCCUACAGAUAUUAAAGCUAAAUUAAAUUCAUUUAACUUUGGUUUAAUGAACUCUAAUAAUUUAGUUGCUUUAUCUGCUUAAAUUAUUUAACUACCAUUAAUUAAAUAAUUGUUUGUUAUUAUUAAUUAAUGUUCCAUUAAACAAACUAGAAAAAACUAAUGUUAAUAAGUUUUUUUGAAAUUUACCAUUAACUAGUUAAUAUUGUUUUUGUAUAAUUAAGCAAUAUUAAUGAAGCAAAUAAUUGUACUAAACUGUAGAAAUUAUUUGUUAGUUAUCUUUUGGACACGGGUUCAAUUCCCGUCAUCUCCACCA
rnacentral:tmRNA from 1 species